AUCAGGUUCAACGCAGUGACUGCUCAGUAGAAGCCAUGGCUCGCAGACACUGCUUCUCCUACUGGUUACUGGUAUGCUGGUUGGUGGUAACUGUGGCAGAAGUAGAGACGGGGUUUCACCAUGUUAGCCAGGAUGGUCUCGAUCUCCUGACCUCGUGAUCUGCCAGCCUCGGCCUCCCAAAGUUCUGGGAUUACAGGCAUGAGCCACAGCGCCCGGCCAAAAUCCGCACAUCUUAAAGGACAAGAAGAGGUAUUUACGCCUCCUGGAGAUUCACAAAAUAAUGCGGACGCUACCGACUGCCAGAUCUUUACACUCACCCCUCCACCUGCCCCGAGGAGUCCGGUCACAAGGGCCCAGCCCAUCACAAAGACACCCAGGUAUUUCCCCAGAAGAAGACUCCAGAGAGGAAGCUCAUCUGAGGAAAGCUGAGAGGGAAGAGAAACCCAAACAUACUGAAGCAAAAAAAAGCCUAUCCUUCAGAAAAAAGCAACAAAAAGAUUUCUGUUUUAUCUUUCGAAACUAAAACUAUUGGAUUUGAAGAUUAAGUAUCCUAAACAUCACUGACUAGAAACUGUUCUCUUUGUCAGCAGUGAAGAUAUUGGAUCAUAGGUUAUUGAUGGUUGCAAAAUUGGACA
rnacentral:lncRNA from 1 species